rnacentral:rRNA from 1 species
UACAGAGGUCUCAAGCGUUUGUUCGGAUUCAUUGGGCGUAAAGGGUGCGUAGGCGGCGCGGUAAGUCGGGUGUGAAAUCUCGGGGCUUAACUCCGAAACUGCAUUCGAUACUGCGGUGCUUGAGGACUGGAGAGGAGACUGGAAUUCAUGGUGUAGCAGUGAAAUGCGUAGAGAUCAUGAGGAAGACCAGUGGCGAAGGCGGGUCUCUGGACAUUUCCUGACGCUGGAGGCACGAAAGCCAGGGGAGCAAACGGG